rnacentral:rRNA from 1 species
CCUACGGGAGGCAGCAGUGGGGAAUAUUGCACAAUGGGGGAAACCCUGAUGCAGCGACGCCGCGUGAGUGAAGACGUACUUCGGUAUGUAAAGCUCUAUCAGCAGGGAAGAAAAUGACGGUACCUGAGUAAGAAGCCCCGGCUAACUACGUGCCAGCAGCCGCGGUAAUACGUAGGGGGCAAGCGUUAUCCGGAUUUACUGGGUGUAAAGGGAGCGUAGGCGGGAGUGCAAGUCUGGAGUGAAAGGCGGGGGCUCAACCCCCGAACUGCUCUUGAAACUGUAUGGCUUGAGUGAAGGAGAGGUAAGUGGAAUUCCUAGUGUAGCGGUGAAAUGCGUAGAUAUUAGGAGGAACACCAGUGGCGAAGGCGGCUUACUGGACUGUAACUGACGUUGAGGCUCGAAAGCGUGGGGAGCAAACAGGAUUAGAUACCCGAGUAGUC